rnacentral:tRNA from 4 species
GGUGAGGUGUCCGAGUGGCUGAAGGAGCACGCCUGGAAAGCGUGUAUACGUUUACGCGUAUCGAGGGUUCGAAUCCCUCCCUCACCGCCA